AAAGAAGUAGAAUCUUAUGCUAUUAAAGUGGAAAAAAAAAGUAAAGGUUGUAAAUUCACCAACAAUUGAUGCUAUAAAAAAAGAAAUUGAGGUUAUUAGAAGAAUGAUUAGGUAGGAAGAUCUGAUUGAUAUUAUGAAUAUUGGAUUUUUUUUAGGUAAAGAUCAAUAAAUUGCUGGUCUAUAUGGUGUUGUGAUUGAAGAAAAGAGAAGUAGAGCUACUUAACAAGAAAACUCUAGUAAAUUUUUUAACAAAAAGAGAAUAUCAAAGAAGAAAAAAGAGAAUAAAAAAGAUGCAUUAGAAAAG
rnacentral:lncRNA from 1 species